rnacentral:rRNA from 1 species
AGAGUUUGAUCCUGGCUCAGGGACGAACGCUGGCGGCGUGCCUAAUACAUGCAAGUCGAACGAGAGCGACCGGUGCUUGCACUGGUCAAUCUAGUGGCGAACGGGUGAGUAACACGUGGGUAACCUGCCCAUCAGAGGGGGAUAACAUUCGGAAACGGAUGCUAAAACCGCAUAGGUCUUCGAACCGCAUGGUUUGAAGAGGAAAAGAGGCGCAAGCUUCUGCUGAUGGAUGGACCCGCGGUGCAUUAGCUAGUUGGUGAGGUAACGGCUCACCAAGGCCGUGAUGCAUAGCCGACCUGAGAGGGUGAUCGGCCACAUUGGGACUGAGACACGGCCCAAACUCCUACGGGAGGCAGCAGUAGGGAAUCUUCCGCAAUGGACGCAAGUCUGACGGAGCAACGCCGCGUGAGUGAAGAAGGUUUUCGGAUCGUAAAACUCUGUUGUUAGAGAAGAACAAGUGCUAGAGUAACUGUUAGCGCCUUGACGGUAUCUAACCAGAAAGCCACGGCUAACUACGUGCCAGCAGCCGCGGUAAUACGUAGGUGGCAAGCGUUGUCCGGAUUUAUUGGGCGUAAAGCGAGCGCAGGCGGUUCCUUAAGUCUGAUGUGAAAGCCCCCGGCUCAACCGGGGAGGGUCAUUGGAAACUGGGGAACUUGAGUGCAGAAGAGGAGAGUGGAAUUCCAUGUGUAGCGGUGAAAUGCGUAGAUAUAUGGAGGAACACCAGUGGCGAAGGCGACUCUCUGGUCUGUAACUGACGCUGAGGCUCGAAAGCGUGGGUAGCAAACAGGAUUAGAUACCCUGGUAGUCCACGCCGUAAACG